CAGUAGCCACGGUAAUACGUAGGGUGCAAGCGUUAAUCGGAAUUACUGGGCGUAAAGCGUGCGCAGGCGGUUAUAUAAGACAGAUGUGAAAUCCCCGGGCUCAACCUGGGAACUGCAUUUGUGACUGUAUAGCUAGAGUACGGCAGAGGGGGAUGGAAUUCCGCGUGUAGCAGUGAAAUGCGUAGAUAUGCGGAGGAACACCGAUGGCGAAGGCAAUCCCCUGGGCCUGUACUGACGCUCAUGCACGAAAGCGUGGGGAGCAAACAGGAUUAGAGACCCGCGUAGUCCCUGUCUCUUAUAU
rnacentral:rRNA from 1 species